AGCGAACGCUGGCGGCAGGCCUAACACAUGCAAGUCGAACGAAGUCUUCGGACUUAGUGGCGGACGGGUGAGUAACACGUGGGAACGUGCCUUUAGGUUCGGAAUAACUCAGGGAAACUUGUGCUAAUACCGAAUGUGCCCUUCGGGGGAAAGAUUUAUCGCCUUAGAGCGGCCCGCGUCUGAUUAGCUAGUUGGUGAGGUAAAGGCUCACCAAGGCUACGAUCAGUAGCUGGUCUGAGAGGAUGACCAGCCACAUUGGGACUGAGACACGGCCCAAACUCCUACGGGAGGCAGCAGUGGGGAAGCUUGCGCAAUGGGCGAAAGCCUGACGCAGCCAUGCCGCGUGGAUGAUGAAGGUCUUAGGAUUGUAAAGUCCUUUCACCGGUGAAGAUAAUGACUGUAGCCGGAGAAGAAGCCCCGGCUAACUUCGUGCCAGCCGCCGCCGUAAUAC
rnacentral:rRNA from 1 species